rnacentral:rRNA from 1 species
UACGAAGGGGGCUAGCGUUGCUCGGAAUCACUGGGCGUAAAGCGCACGUAGGCGGAUCGUUAAGUCAGGGGUGAAAUCCUGGAGCUCAACUCCAGAACUGCCUUUGAUACUGGCGAUCUUGAGUUCGGGAGAGGUGAGUGGAACUGCGAGUGUAGAGGCGAAAUUCGUAGAUAUUCGCAAGAACACCAGUGGCGAAGGCGGCUCACUGGCCCGAUACUGACGCUGAGGUGCGAAAGCGUGGGGAGCAAACAGG